AUGAUUGAGAAUCAUCAACCUUUAACAAUUUUCAUCUUCCCCCAAUCCCUAUAUAACCUCUUCUCCACGAUCAUUCAAGGAUUUUUUCACCACCAAUUUUCAGCUUCCAGAACCACUGAAUCUACACCAUUGAUUCUUCACUCUCCCAUACCUCACCACACGCUCUCUUCAAAAAGCGGUUAA